rnacentral:rRNA from 1 species
AGUGAACGCUGGCGGCGUGCUUAACACAUGCAAGUCGAACGCGAAAGGGGAGCAGUCCCUGAGUAGAGUGGCGAACGGGUGAGUAAUGUGUGGGUAAUUUGCCUUUGAGCGGGGGAUAACCCGGCGAAAGCUGAGCUAAUACCCCAUAACAUUGCAAUUUCUUCGGAGAAUGCAAUCAAACGAUGGCCUCUAUUUAUAAGCUAUUGCUUGAAGAUGAGCCCACAUCCUAUCACGCUUGUUGGUGGGGUAAUGGCCCACCAAGGCGACGACGGGUAGCCGGCCUGAGAGGGUGUCCGGCCACACUGGAACUGAGACACGGUCCAGACUCCUACGGGA